rnacentral:pre_miRNA from 1 species
UUGAAGAAUUUGAAGAUUUCAACUUGCAGACUUGAAGAAUUUGAAGACUUAAACUUGCAGACUUGAAGAAUUUGAAGACUUAAACU